CCUACGGGAGGCAGCAGUAGGGAAUCUUCCGCAAUGGACGAAAGUCUGACGGAGCGACGCCGCGUGAGUGAUGAAGGUCUUCGGAUCGUAAAACUCUGUUGUUAGGGAAGAACAAGUACCGUUCGAAUAGGGCGGUACCUUGACGGUACCUAACCAGAAAGCCCCGGCUAACUACGUGCCAGCAGCCGCGGUAAU
rnacentral:rRNA from 1 species